GGUAGCGCCUCGUGAACUCAUCUUCGGGGGUAGAGCACUGUUUCGGCUAGGGGGUCAUCCCGACUUACCAACCCGAUGCAAACUACGAAUACCGAAGAAUGUUAUCACGGGAGACACACGGCGGGUGCUAACGUCCGUCGUGAAGAGGGAAACAACCCAGACCGCCAGCUAAGGUCCCAAAGUCAUGGUUAAGUGGGAAACGAUGUGGGAAGGCCCAGACAGCCAGGAUGUUGGCUUAGAAGCAGCCAUCAUUUAAAGAAAGCGUAAUAGCUCACUGGUCGAGUCGGCCUGCGCGGAAGAUGUAACGGGGCUAAACCAUGCACCGAAGCUGCGGCAGCGACACUAUGUGUUGUUGGGUAGGGGAGCGUUCUGUAAGCCGUUGAAGGUGGCCUGUGAGGGUUGCUGGAGGUAUCAGAAGUGCGAAUGCUGACAUAAGUAACGAUAAUGCGGGUGAAAAACCCGCACGCCGGAAGACCAAGGGUUCCUGUCCAACGUUAAUCGGGGCAGGGUGAGUCGACCCCUAAGGCGAGGCCGAAAGGCGUAGUCGAUGGGAAACAGGUUAAUAUUCCUGUACUUGGUGUUACUGCGAAGGGGGGACGGAGAAGGCUAUGUUGGCCGGGCGACGGUUGUCCCGGUUUAAGCAUGUAGGCGGAUGUUCCAGGUAAAUCCGGAACGUUAUUAACGCUGAGGUGUGAUGACGAGGCACUACGGUGCUGAAGUGACAAAUGCCCUGCUUCCAGGAAAAGCCUCUAAGCAUCAGGUAACAUCAAAUCGUACCCCAAACCGACACAGGUGGUCAGGUAGAGAAUACCAAGGCGCUUGAGAGAACUCGGGUGAAGGAACUAGGCAAAAUGGUGCCGUAACUUCG
rnacentral:rRNA from 1 species